rnacentral:miRNA from 1 species
CCCCAGAUGUUGCUGAACUACAACUCCUAUUAUUCUUUGAAUUACAUAGAUAGCCAGAGAAUCAUGGGAGUUGUAGUUCAGCAACAUCUGGGG